rnacentral:rRNA from 1 species
UACGGAGGGUCCAAGCGUUAUCCGGAUUUAUUGGGGUUUAAAGGGUGCGCAGGCGGGAGAUUAAGUCGGCGGUGAAAUUUUGCAGCUCAACUGUAAAAGUGCCUUCGAAACUGGUUUCCUUGAGUGUAGAUGAAGUAGGCGGAAUUUGUGGUGUAGCGGUGAAAUGCAUAGAUAUCACGAGGAACUCCGAUUGCGCAGGCAGCUUACUAAACUACUACUGACGCUCAGGCACGAAGGCGUGGGGAUCAAACAGGAUUAGAUAUCCCGGUAGUCCCU